rnacentral:rRNA from 1 species
GACGAACGCUGGCGGCGUGCUUAACACAUGCAAGUCGAGCGGUAAGGCCCUUUCGGGGGUACACGAGCGGCGAACGGGUGAGUAACACGUGGGUGACCUGCCCUCAGCUCUGGGAUAAGCCUGGGAAACCGGGUCUAAUACCGGAUAUGACUCCAUGACGCAUGUUGUGGGGUGGAAAGCCUUGUGCGGCUGAGGAUGGGGCCCGCGGCCUAUCAGCUUGUUGGUGGGGNGAUGGCCUACCAAGGCGACGACGGGUAGCCGGCCUGAGAGGGCGACCGGCCACACUGGGACUGAGACGCGGCCCAGACUCCUACGGGAGGCAGCAGUGGGGAAUCUUGCGCAAUGGG